rnacentral:rRNA from 1 species
GUGGCGAACGGGUGAGUAAUACAUCGGAACGUGCCCGAUCGUGGGGGAUAACGGAGCGAAAGCUUUGCUAAUACCGCAUACGAUCUACGGAUGAAAGCAGGGGACCGCAAGGCCUUGCGCGGACGGAGCGGCCGAUGGCAGAUUAGGUAGUUGGUGGGAUAAAAGCUUACCAAGCCGACGAUCUGUAGCUGGUCUGAGAGGACGACCAGCCACACUGGGACUGAGACACGGCCCAGACUCCUACGGGAGGCAGCAGUGGGGAAUUUUGGACAAUGGGCGAAAGCCUGAUCCAGCCAUGCCGCGUGCAGGAUGAAGGCCUUCGGGUUGUAAACUGCUUUUGUACGGAACGAAAAGACUCCUUCUAAUAAAGGGGGUCCAUGACGGUACCGUAAGAAUAAGCACCGGCUAACUACGUGCCAGCAGCCGCGGUAAUACGUAGGGUGCAAGCGUUAAUCGGAAUUACUGGGCGUAAAGCGUGCGCAGGCGGUUAUAUAAGACAGAUGUGAAAUCCCCGGGCUCAACCUGGGAACUGCAUUUGUGACUGUAUAGCUAGAGUACGGUAGAGGGGGAUGGAAUUCCGCGUGUAGCAGUGAANACGGUGNAGAGGNGNUUAUNCGNGCCACNNGAAACUUNCCCCUU